GACGAACGCUGGCGGCGUGCCUAAUACAUGCAAGUCGAGCGAAGUUUUUCUGGUGCUUGCACUAGAAAAACUUAGCGGCGAACGGGUGAGUAACACGUAAAGAACCUGCCUCAUAGACUGGGACAACUAUUGGAAACGAUAGCUAAUACCGGAUAACAAUAUUUUUCGCAUGAAAGAUACUUAAAAGUUGGUUAUGCUAACACUAUGAGAUGGCUUUGCGGUGCAUUAGCUAGUUGGUGGGGUAAAGGCCUACCAAGGCGACGAUGCAUAGCCGACCUGAGAGGGUGAUCGGCCACACUGGGACUGAGACACGGCCCAGACUCCUACGGGAGGCAGCAGUAGGGAAUCUUCCGCAAUGGGCGAAAGCCUGACGGAGCAACGCCGCGUGAGUGAAGAAGGAUUUCGGUUCGUAAAGCUCUGUUGUUAGGGAAGAAUGGAUAUGUAGUAACUAU
rnacentral:rRNA from 1 species